rnacentral:rRNA from 1 species
GGAAUAUUGGGCAAUGGGCGCAAGCCUGACCCAGCGACGCCGCGUGAGGGAUGAAGGUCUUCGGAUUGUAAACCUCUUUCAGUGGGGAAGAAGCGAAAGUGACGGUACCCAAAGAAGAAGCACCGGCUAACUAUGUGCCAGCAGCCGCGGUAAUACAUAGGGUGCAAGCGUUGUCCGGAAUUAUUGGGCGUAAAGAGCUCGUAGGUGGUUUAUCACGUCGGAUGUGAAAUUCUGAGGCUCAACCUCGGACCUGCAUUCGAUACGGGCAAACUAGAGUGUGGUAGGGGAGACUGGAAUUCCUGGUGUAGCGGUGGAAUGCGCAGAUAUCAGGAGGAACACCAAUGGCGAAGGCAGGUCUCUGGGCCAUUACUGACACUGAGGAGCGAAAGCGCGGGGAGCGAACAGGAUUAGAUACCCUGGUAGUCCGCNCCGUAAACGGUGGGCACUAGUUGUGGGAACCUUCCACGGUUUCCGCGACGCAGCUAACGCAUUAAGUGCCCCGCCUGGGGAGUACGAUCGCAAGAUUAAAACUCAAAUGAAUUGACGG